CAGCAGCCGCGGUAAUACGAAGGGGGCUAGCGUUGUUCGGAAUUACUGGGCGUAAAGCGCACGUAGGCGGAUAUUUAAGUCAGGGGUGAAAUCCCGCAGCUCAACUGCGGAACUGCCUUUGAUACUGGGUAUCUUGAGUAUGGAAGAGGUUAGUGGAAUUGCGAGUGUAGAGGUGAAAUUCGUAGAUAUUCGCAGGAACACCAGUGGCGAAGGCGGCUAACUGGUCCAUAACUGACGCUGAGGUGCGAAAGCGUGGGGAGCAAACAGGAUUAGAUACCCCAGUAGUCCCUGUCUCUUAUAA
rnacentral:rRNA from 1 species